UUAUAACGCUUUCAGUUGCCACAGUUGUUUCUGCACUUUGAACUUGCCUUAAAUGUGGAAUCUGCUGUUCUAACAUCAGUAGCGAGGGAAGUUCCUGUUUUUUUUCGAUUCCCCGGAGGGUAAUUGCCUCUCCUUCCGCAGCGCGCAGUUGCCAGCUGCCAGGCUGCCCCGAGGGCUUUGAAGUGGAAGGCGCCCCAGGGCUUUCUUCCCGUCGGCUGGUGCCCGCGGUGGAGAGGAGGGCGAGGGCUCUCCUUCAACCUCGCCUGUCUCCUGCCUCUCGUUCUUCUUAAAGAAGCCAGGUGGCGCCAACUCUCAACCCCUGCAACAGCUGGAGGAUCUCCCUGCUUGCUCACAGUAGAGAGAGGAGGUGGAAGGAAGAGCACUGUCCUGGGCAGCCGCUUUCUCUCUGCGCCCUCCGCCCUUUGGAAUUGGAGCUUUGCUUUUUUCUUCUUCCGCACCCCUCGCAGGAGGACGGCAAGCCUAAAGGGAAACGAGGUGUCCUGUGUGCCACAUGGAGCUUGGGGAACGGAAAUAAUUAAAGCCAUGAGGUUUCCUGGCUCUUCGCAGUGUUUACGAGGGGAGAGGAAGUGAUGAAGAGGAUUAACACUCUGCUUCUAAUUCUGGCCAACUUGGAGGCCCUGAAUGGAAAAUCAGAAGUGACAGGAAUUCUGGAAGAGGGCCACCUGGCCAUCAGAAAAUUCCAGAGGGAUGUGGUCACUGCCAGACACACACUCGGUUGAUCUCAUCCAAAUGGAUGGAGAGAAACUAAUUAGCUUCAAAACAUCAAUUUUCAGAAAUUAUCAGCUAAUAAAGAAUAUCAGUCUUGAAACGAACAACAUGGUUCGCACCCACUUCAAACAUUGUUUAAAAUCUCAUUUGUUAUUUUGUACUGUGGUCUCACUUAAAAGCCAGCAUUACUGAGACUGCGGAGCACAUACCUUGAAUUCCCAGGAUGAGAGGGGAAAGAGAGAGCAACAGCAAGACAGAGGGAGAACUAAAACUGAGACGCUCCACAACAGACGUGUGAGAAAAACAAGAAAAUUCAGAAGUUGUACAGGCAGCUGAAGUCUCUAGACACGAGAAAACUGGAAACUGCCCAAAGCUGGGCUCAGUAGAGUAUAGAAAUGUGAUGAAGACCAGGACUGGUUUUUUUUUUCCAACAAGAGGUUAGUUACUUAAGGACCACAUUCCCAGGAUUACAAGGAUUUGCCUGAAUAGCCCAGGGAACACUUUUCUCCAGUAGAAUUAGUGAAAUGAAGAGAUGGGACUCUGUGUGAGCUGCCUAUUACGUGAGACUGUAUUUAGAACUUGAAAUUAACACUGGGAGUAAUCAUAUUAAAUUGAUAUCAGCAGAUGAAAGCUAUAUGAAGUAGGAAUUAUGUUUUUUCUAAUUAGCUUAAAUUUUCAGAUACUAAAAUCCAGGUGUCUGGGGGAGCCAAACCCAGUUACUUGGGCUUAGCGUCAUUCCUUGAAAGAAAAACAAAAACAAGACCAUGUGCUGAAUAUCUCAGGCCAGAAGCUCAAUCAUAUUCAUUCAGCUCAGCUUCUUUCCUCCAUGUUCAAAUAGAAAAAUAGUCACUUACAACUGGGAACUGCUUCUGCGUGGGCUGUGCAGCCUUGGAAGGGGAGAGUGUCCCAGCUUCCUGUAGGUGUGUGCUCUGCUGAUGCCCCUCCUCUCUGACGCUGAGCGGGAGCAUUUUGUGAAUGACAGAAGGAAAGCAUUUACCUAACAGGGAAGAGAAGAUAGAAAUGACACUUUCCUGUUCCUGGUGCAGUGAAUGUUUUCCCCCUUUUUCUAAGAAAGCUCCGAGUCGCACCUUUGUAAAGAAUUCAACUUGCAGACCACACAUGCUUCAGGCCAUCACUUACUCAGCAGCUCGUUGCAGCAGGGUGGCCUCACUCUGAAAGCUACAGUAAGUAUAGGCAUAGGAUAAGACAGUUACAGGCACUGAACUACAUUUUUCAUUUCUCUUGCGGAAGAGACCUUGGCUGGAAGGACCAAAGGAAGCAGUGUCUGAAGCUUCCACCUUUUAUCUGCUGGUUCAUUUGAAUAAAAUUACAUGGAGUGGUGCCAUUUUCAACUUCAAAUUCUUAUAGAUUGGGCAGGCAAUUUCUUCCUUCUGUCCCAGGUAAAAUAAAGAAUGAACAGAUAAGGCAUCACUUGAGAUGCUAAUUGAAUGGAAUUGAAUGAUGGAAAUUCUCAUACAAGUGAAAAAUUAGGAUAGAAUGUUAUUACGAAUACUCCAAGGGACUGAAUAGCCUUUAGACAGCUGAAGGGAAUGUAAGGAUGGCUUUUUAUAUCAGACUGGAGAGUCAGUGUACAAGAAAUGUAACUUUAUGAUGCAACUACAAUUCUAUUUCAAGCUGUCAUUCAGGACCUUUUCUGUCCCUGGUGUCAACAAACGAAUUCUGGGAUGGUUUACACAGAGCCAAGACAUUGGAGAGGCUCACCUGGUUCUUGGAUGUUGUCUGUCCACUCAGAGGACACUGUGUUGCACAUCAGCCUGGGUUGUCACUGGUCAUAAAUUCAGUCCCUUCAGCUCCAUCUGCCAACCCUUCAGUUCCCAUGCCUCUUCCCUACCACUCUUGGGCACACACCAAUUAUUCUGCCCUUCUCGGACCCACUGGGACCUGGGGAUUUUGUGAGGCUAAGACCUGGAUGGCCAAGAUAUAACACAGAGCCGUAGUUUCCAUCUUCAGAAUUCUUGCCAUCCUCAGGGCUUUACCCAGGAAGUGAGGUGCAAAUUCUUCCUGUGUUACAUCUGUGAAGAUCUGGCCACUUCCCGAGAACAGGGUGCAGGGCCCUGUCUCAGGAACCCAUCCGGUCUGCCUCUCAGGCUUGCCUCUUUUACUGCUUCUCCCAGCCUGAGGAAUCCUUUUUUGGUACUAAGGGCAGAGAAGACUUGCUUUCAAUGUCAGACCUCCUCUGCCACUGAGUGAGUUUGUUUUUGUUUUUUUUAAUUGUGGUAAAAUAUACUUAGCAUAAAAUUUACCAUUUUAACCAUUUUUCAGUAGCAUUAAGUACGUUCUCAUUGUUGUUUGACCAUCACCACCAUCCAUCUUCAGGACUUUUUCACCUUCUGAAACUGAACCUCUGUCCCCAUUAAACAACAGCUCCUCAUUCCUCACUCCCCUCAGCCCCUGGCGCCACCAUUCUGCUUUCCAUAUGGAUUUGACUGCUCUAGGUGCCUCAUAUAAAUGGAAUUGUACAAGAUUUGCCCUUUUGUGAUCGGUUUACUUCACUUAACAUGUCUUUAAGCCUCAUUUUUGUUGUAGCAUAUGUCAUAAUUUACUUCCUUUUUAAGGGUGAAUAAUAUUUCAUUGUAUGUAUAUGCCACAUUUUGUUUAUCUGUUCAUCUGUCGAUGAUCAUUUUGGUUGUUUCCAUCUUUGGGCUAUCAUGAAUAAUUCUGUUAUCUGACUCUUUUCUGACGCCUUAAGACCUUGUCUCUGGAAACUCAAAAUCCUGGGCGAGGUUCUUUUUUCUCUGUCUUGCUGUCACAUCCUUCCUUGAGUCAAUAAGUAGAGAAUGGCCUAAUUUAAUUGACUGCAGGGGACAAGGUGGGGGGGGGGGAGAUUAUAUUUCAAAAUAUUAACUACCAUACAAGGAUUUCUCAUCUUGUUUACUUUCUUCUUUUGAGUAAAUAUGAAUGUUUGUGAUCUUUAUUUUCUUGUCAGACAAAUUUAGGUUUUUAAAAAGGCCUUAGACUUGCAUACAACAUGUCCUUCAAAACAUAUGAACAGAAAAAAAGAAAAUUACAGGCCUAUAUCCCUGAUGAACAUAGAUGGAAAAAUC